UCAUUCAAAAUUUUCAAAUAACUAGCUAGAAUAAUAUUUUGGCCAAAUUUCGUGCAUGUAAUUUUCAAAGCAAGGGUAAGACUUUUCUUCCCUCUCUCUUCUCCUUCUCCAUCUUUUCUUUCUUUUUAUAUUUUCCUCCCUUCCAAACAGAUAGCGACAACUACAAGUGAAGUGAGCAAUCUUUAUUUUCCUUCGAAAAAACAAUCGAGGAGUUGUCAUAAGUGGCAAGUUCUACUGUACCGAUAUCUAGAAGCACCCACUGUACAGUUACAUUUAUCUAGAUCAACCGGACCCCACGUCCCAAAAAGAUCAACAAGUUUAAGCCUGGCCAGUGGCCCCACCUCACUUUCACUCCAAAAAGUGUCCUCCAAAGUGUCUGUCAAACCCUACCCCACCAACCUUUUCUUACGUCAUUCCUUGCGUCACUACAUAGUACCCAUUUCAAUGGACCUGAAGCUAGCCGACCCGAGAUCCUUAUACGGCCCGGGUGAUAUCCCAUCCUCCUCCACUAAGAUCCGUUUGACCCCUCUCCUCCUCUUCCAAAUCCUGUAAAUCCCAAAUCCAAUAGCUCCAACCAGAAUCGCCAUGGCCCCACUCAAGAUCCCAACACCCACACCCACGUCCAUUUUCCUCCCUGUUGCUUUCCUCAGCUUGAAAUACCCUGCCUUGGUCUCAUCACCCACAGCCAAUAGUGUUCGGAUCGGAUAAUCCACCAAGUAACAAAACCCGGAUGCGUUAUUGUAAACAGCACCCCAACAACUACAGUUAUUUUCACAUAAGCCCUCGCAAUGUUCCAAAGACGACACCGUUUUAUACCCCAUUAAUUCUUUAAACGGUAAAUCCACCCCUUUCCUUCUCAAAACGCGGAAGUCGUUUUUGGUUUUAGUUUCUCCGUUGCUGCAAAGGUCACCGGACUGAACAGCAAGGCACUCACCAGAACUAAACUCCGUGCGAUUAUCCAAGCAGGAACAACCCGACCCGGGUUUGCACAAACCGUAG
rnacentral:misc_RNA from 1 species